rnacentral:rRNA from 1 species
GACGAACGCUGGCGGCGUGCUUAACACAUGCAAGUCGAACGGAAAGGCCCUGCUUUUGUGGGGUGCUCGAGUGGCGAACGGGUGAGUAACACGUGAGUAACCUGCCCUUGACUUUGGGAUAACUUCAGGAAACUGGGGCUAAUACCGGAUAGGAGCUCCUGCUGCAUGGUGGGGGUUGGAAAGUUUCGGCGGUUGGGGAUGGACUCGCGGCUUAUCAGCUUGUUGGUGGGGUAGUGGCUUACCAAGGCUUUGACGGGUAGCCGGCCUGAGAGGGUGACCGGGCACAUUAGGACUGAGAUACGGCCCAGACUCCUACGGGAGGCAGCAGUGGGGAAUAUUGCACAAUGGGCGGAAGCCUGAUGCAGCAACGCCGCGUGCGGGAUGACGGCCUUCGGGUUGUAAACCGCUUUCGCCUGUGACGAAGCGUGAGUGACGGUAAUGGGUAAAGAAGCACCGGCUAACUACGUG